AAGGCGUCAGUGUGACAACAAAACCAAACUUUGGCGUAAAUCACAGUGAGAAAAAAAAUGCACUCAAUCUCCUUUGUUAGGCUGCAAAUGGAAUCUUUAUAGAGGCCACCAAGAGAAUAGUCAAAAUGGGUGCCCACUCCUCUUCUCUCUCCCUCUCUACCGCUAAUAUCACUACUGAUUAUUCGUCUCUUUUUCCUCGCAAAUCAAAACCAAAACCAAAACCAAACCCAAACUCCACCUUCAGUCCCACCAUUGAGAUCAAUCUUCUAAAACCCACUUGCAGUUUUAUAUCCCAAAAUUCGUGCUUAAAUAAUUCUACUUGUCCUUCUUCAAAGAUUGUGCCUUUGAGGUGUGCAAAAGUUGGAUUCAUGGAGACCCAAGAAGGAAGUACUUCAAAAUCCAUAAUUGAAUUUCAUAGCAUUGAUGAAGAAUUGGUUCAAAAGAUAGUUUAUGAUGCUCUUGUCUGGUGCUCUCUCCAUGGCCUUGUUGUUGGUGACAAAAGUGUUCAGAGAUCAGGAGCAGUACCUGGUGUGGGCAUGGUACAUGCUCCAUUUGCCUUGCUGCCUGCAACAUUCCCGGAAAGUCACUGGAAUUUAGCUUGUGAGGUUGCCCCCAUAUUCAAUGAACUUGUCGAUCGUGUGAGUUUGGAUGGAAAAUUUCUUCAAGACUCAUUGUCGAGAACAAAGAAAGUAGAUGUUUUUACAUCAAGGCUUUUAGAUAUUCAUUCCAAGAUGCUAGAAAUAAACAAAUUUGAGGAUAUACGCUUGGGUUUACAUCGCUCUGAUUAUAUGCUUGAUGAAGAAACUAAAUCACUCCUCCAAAUAGAGCUAAAUACAAUUUCUGCAUCAUUUCCUGGCCUCAGUUGUGUCAUUAGUGAGCUUCACAGGAGCUUGCUUAAGCAUUAUGGGGAACACCUUGCAUUAGAUUCCAAAAGAAUACCAACCAAUGCUGCUGCCAAUCAGUUUGCAGAGGCUCUGGCUAGAGCUUGGUCUGAGUAUAACAACCCUAGGGCUGUGGUUAUGGUUGUUGUUCAGCCUCAGGAGCACAACAUGUAUGACCAACAUUGGCUUUGUGCUAUAUUGAAGGAAAAAUAUAAUGUAACAGCUAUUCGGAAAACAUUGGCAGAAAUUGAUGAAGAAGGGGAACUUCUACCAGAUGGAACACUCCUUGUAGAUCAUCAAGCUAUUGCAGUAGCCUAUUUUAGGGCUGGAUAUGCACCUACCGAUUUUCCUUCAGAGGCAGAAUGGAGAGCUAGGCUACUUGUGGAGCAGUCAUUAGCUAUCAAGUGUCCAUCAAUAUCUUAUCAUUUGGCAGGCACCAAGAAGAUUCAACAAGAACUUGCGAAACCUAAUGUGCUUGAGAGAUUUCUUGAUAACAAGGAGGACACUGCCAAGCUGCGGAAAUGCUUUGCUGGUUUGUGGAGUUUGGAUGAAUCAGAUAUUAUCAAAAGAGCCAUUGAAAGACCUGAGUUAUUUGUGAUGAAGCCCCAACGAGAAGGCGGAGGGAACAAUAUCUAUGGUGAUGAUGUGAAGGAAAACCUUCUAAGGUUGCAGAGAGAAGGGAGUGAAGAAGACGCAGCUUACAUCCUCAUGCAACGUAUAUUUCCAGCUGUUUCCCCUGCACUUUUAGUGCGUAAUGGCAUUUGUCAUAAAGAUCAUGCAAUAUCGGAACUUGGAAUAUACAGUGCUUACUUGAGGAACAAGGACAAAGUGAUUAUAAAUGACAAGAGUGGAUACUUGGUGCGGACAAAGGUAGCAUCAUCGAAUGAAGGUGGAGUUGCAGCUGGGUUUGCAGUACUGGAUAGUGUAUACUUGAACUAAUGGAGCAGCUUUAAUUUUCUUCAAGUUUUUACCUUAAUACUUCUCAAAAGGUCAGGUUGACAUGGAGAUUUUUAGCAAUAGAAGUUGUAUUGGUUCCUCAAGAUGCAGAGUUGAAUUGUGAAUGUCCUGAUGCAAAAAUCUGAAGGUUUUUGGAAAAAUGAAGACCACUUGGUAUUCAGUUUCAAUCCAGAAUAUGAAAAGGGAUACUUUAACCAGCAAUUCAAGAAAUACAGAACCAUUUCAUUUACAUUGAAAAAAGUAUUGACAACAGCCUUGCAAUCACUAUUACUACAGUACAAGCUAUUUUGCGAUUGAAAGACAAAAAUUGAAGUUAUAGAAGUAUCCAUACUUGAUAUCCAUCCUCAUGUAUAUACUCUUGUACUAUCUUCUUCCCAUCCGAGUUCUCGAGCUCGUUUCUCCCACUCUGCUUGUAAAGAGGCUUUCCUGGCAUCCAUUACUAAUGCCCUGGUGUGCUCCAGUGAAUCAUUAGCCACUCUUCUCUGCAAAGCAAUUUCCUCUGACAGUAAAGCUACAAUAUCCUUCUCCAUUUCUUCAUGUAUAUCGGGAUCAUCGUUACUACAGUCUGGAAAUAUAGUAGAAAACAAUUUGACAAUGAAAUAAAAGAAUCAAUCUAUAAUUUUCUCUCU